UGGAUGCCGGCGAUGCAUCCCAGUUUUUGCAAAGGAAAUACAUGCAAUGGACCCCAUUUCUGCUAAGGGUGAAUGCAUGCAGUGCUGCCCAAUUUUUUUUGCAAGAAGGGUGCGUGUAAUACCGUGUCAUUUUUGCAAGGGGAGGGUGUGUGAUCCGGCCCACUUUUUGCAAGGAGGGGUGAAUGCAAUGCAGCCCAAUCUUUGCAAGCAGAGUGCACGCACGGUAGCACGUUCUUUCAAGGAGGGUGCAUGCAGUCAGGUCCAGUUUUACAAGGAUACAUGAUAUAUCCCACGGUACACCAUGCAGGUGCAAAGUCAGCACUGCGCUGUGCAGGCUGAGCGUUUCACCCCGGUGGUGCAAACUGGACUCAGAUCUGUGCAAUGAGCUGUUCUGAGUGAGAGCCCCAACCUAGGAGGCUGCACAGCUCUGCAUGUUUGGGGUUUGCUGUGCUCCAUAACAGUACAAACAGUCGAAGUUGGAUCAAGCAGCAGCUCUGGGAGGGCGAGAUGGCCCAGGAGAAGGCAUCUGAAAUUCCACAGUCUGGAGCGGCCGGGUCCAUCGCCAUGAGAACGGUCUGCUCUGCACACCUGAGGAAGUGCAACAAAGCAGAGAAAACAAGACAAAAAGAAAAGGAGAUAAAGAGCCCUCUGUGCCCCAGGCGCUCUCUGAUGCUGUCACACCAAAGCCAGCCGAGCACAGGGGACCCUUUCAGCUGUACAGGUGCAGCAGGUCAGCCUCUUGCCUUUGAUGGCUCGAGCAAGGGCUGGGAGCAGCUCCAGUGUCUUUGCACACAAGUGCUGCACGAGUUAAAUCCGAGCAGUGCUUCUGACUGCUGGAGGCUUCAGGUUUGGUUCUGCAGUGCCUUGCCAGAUGAGCAGCGCUUGAACUCUUCCCCUUUCCAUCCCUUAAAUGUCAGCGGAAGUGUAUUUAAAUGAAACAAUACAACCUCCCCAUGCAAAGUUUGUAAAUAAGAAUCUGCAGCAUCAGGAGAGCAGAAUGGAGCCGAUUAAAACCAGGAUAAGAAACGACAGCAGAAAUUUCCUAUUUCACAGUUAACGUCGCUGGUGAAAUUCUAUCAGCUGAUCGAACCCCACUCUGCUGAGCUCAACGUGUUGGAGACUUCCCACUGAUGUGCAGGGCUGGGCGUAUGUUUAAACAUAUGCAUUUACUUAACACUGACAGAAAUGGGCCCUCGUGUGUUAAACCGUCUCCAAGCCUGAAUGGGAAUUGCUAUAUAUUUCUUUUUUCGUGGGGGAACUUUAGCCCUGUGGUGAUGACUGCAUUUUCUCGUGUUGGAGAGCACAUUUCACAGCACAUCGCCUCGCCGACGUCCCUGUUUUGACAAAGCAAAGUUGGUGCUGCUGUCAGCUCGCCCCUCUCUGUGCUCCUUCCUG
ensembl:lncRNA